rnacentral:piRNA from 1 species
UAUCAGAUCCCGUGACCUCAUGGCUUUUGU